UACAGAGGUCUCAAGCGUUGUUCGGAUUCAUUGGGCGUAAAGGGCGCAUAGGCGGCGGGGUAAGUCGGGUGUGAAAUCUCAGAGCUCAACUCUGAAAUGGCACUUGAUACUGCUCUGCUAGAGGACUGGAGAGGAGAUUGGAAUUCACGGUGUAGCAGUGAAAUGCGUAGAUAUCGUGAGGAAGACCAGUUGCGAAGGCGGAUCUCUGGGCAGUUCCUGACACUGAGACACGAAGGCCAGGGGAGCAAACGGG
rnacentral:rRNA from 1 species